rnacentral:rRNA from 1 species
CCUGACUCCAUCCCGAACUCAGAAGUGAAACGAAACAGCGUCGAUGGUAGUGUGGGGUUUCCCCAUGUGAGAGUAGAACAUCGCCAGGC